rnacentral:rRNA from 1 species
UUUAGUGGCGGACGGGUGAGUAACACGUGAGAACUUACCUUCAGGAGGGGAACAACCGUUAGAAAUGACGGCUAAUGCCCCAUACGCUAUGUUAAAUAGUGAAAGAAUCUCGCCUGAAGAAAGGCUCGCGCCUGAUUAGCUUGUUGGUGAGGUAAUGGCUCACCAAGGCGACGAUCAGUAGCUGGUUUGAGAGGACGAUCAGCCACACUGGAACUGAGACACGGUCCAGACUCC